CAGGUCGGUUCUACGACUUGAUUCCAUUUCAUAAAGAAAUAGAAGCCACUCGCUAUUUGAAUGGCAUUCAUUUUUGUGGACUUCUACUGAUGGCAAUCUCUUUUUCAUGUUUCCUCCGUUUCUUUUGUGAAACCUUGUGUAGAGUUUCGAAAGGGUUCUUCAAAUGCCGUGUCGUCUUAAUUGCGACGAUGCUGGUCGUAACACCGGUUUUCCUCAGCUUUCGACUUCAGGAAAUUAAUUACCGUCUGUCGGUGACCGAAAUCCAGGAUCUACCUGACGCUCUCAAUGAAUUGAAAACUUAUCCAAGCGAUGGACGGAUUCUGGCACAGAAAGCUUUGGGUACUGGUGAUCCUUUAACGCUAGCCCUUCUACCUCACUACAGCAGAAAGCCCGGAAUUCUCACCUAUUCCAGAGGCUAUCACGAUUCGCUGUCCCUCUACUAUUUGGAAAUGUUGCCACUCAGUCUCGAGAUAACACCUUGGUUUCCUGAUUUGUUACGUCUAUACAACAUUCGUUUCCUUGCCACAUACCGGAUCGCUUUACCUUCGCAUGUUCUGAAGGUUUGUCAGCUAAGGCACCUGGCCUUCAUAGGAGACAUCGAAGUUUUCGUCAGAACAUUCGAAGAGAUCUAUGGAUAUUUUGAGUUUGUCCAUGUGCCUGGCGCUAUCACGGGUGAUUUAAAAGGCAUACGUGAGGCUGUGUUGAUAUCUACCCAACUGUUCACCUACAGAGUGGUAUUCGCUGUAAAUCCUCACAGCACUUUUAACCAUCCACCCUUCAAAAUUGUUGUAUCCAAUAAAAAUGCAGACGGAAACUUACUCAAUUUUCUCGCUGGAAAUGAGUUCAGGAUAAAGUGGUUUGUUAACCAAAGGCGAGUGAAAGAAAAAGCUUUCCUCGAGGAUAUAAAGUUUGGGCUCCACCCCGGAGGUGUUUUUUCACGAGUUCUGCAAGAGGAAGUAGGAAGGAACUUUUACAAAGCUUAUGUCCAUGUAGUUGAGCGAGUCUGGAGCAAGAAUUUCUACAAGACAGAGCACCUUCUUCUUAAAGUGACUUAUCAUCCUUACUGGAAAUGCGCGUUCUAUUCGUCAGUGGAAGCAACUGACGGUGCUCGUGAUUGGCGCGAGGUUCUUGUGCAUCACGUGACACCGAACCUGAUGAGUAUAGUUUUACCUCCUGGAAAACAUCACGUGUUCUGUCAAUAUAAGAAUCCAAUUUAUCAGAAAGUCGGUUUCGUGUUAUUUUAUAUGAUUUUUACUGCUUUAAUGGUGAAAGAAUUUUUUCGAGUCAUUGUAAAUUCUGAUUGAGAAUUUGAACCUCUUGUGGUUACUUUCUCAGUUGAAAAUGCAAAUGAGGUGACUCAUUAAAACGUAGGCAGUACUAGAUAUUAAACAAUGUGCUUUAUGAUUUUUUAAAAACUCUCACAGGUGCGUCCAGUCUGGUAUCCCCUUAAGAUAAACGAAACAUCAGAUCUCCUCCCUCAAGAAGAUUAUUAGUCCUCUCAAAGCGACGAA